AAUAUUGGACAAGGGGCGAAAGCCUGAUCCAGCCAUGCAGCGUGUGUGAAGAAGGUCUUCGGAGUGUAAAGCACGUUAAGUCGGGAGGAAGGGCAGUAAGUGAAUACCUUGCUGUUAUGACGUUACCGACAGAAUAAGCACCGACUAACUUCGGGCCAGCAGCCGCGGUAAUACGAAGGGUGCAAGGGUUAAUCGGAAUUACUGGGCGUAAAGCGCGCGUAGGUGGUUCGUUAAGUUGGAAGUGAAAGCCCCGGGCUUAACCUGGGAAUUGCUUUCAAAACUGACGAGCUAGAGUACGGUAGAGGGUAGUGGAAUUUCCUGUGUAGCGGUGAAAUGCGUAGAUAUAGGAAGGAACAUCAGCGGCGAAGGCGACUACCUGGACUGAUACUGACACUGAGGUGCGAAAGCGUGGGGAGCAAACAGG
rnacentral:rRNA from 1 species